rnacentral:rRNA from 1 species
AGCCCAUUAGCUAGCUCACACUCUAAAAUCCAACAAUCCAUUAUUUAUAACCCCUAAUUAAGCCUUACGUGUUUAAGACCAAACCAUUUUUCCCCCCUAGUAUGGGCGACAGAAAAGGAAGAAUCGAAGCGACAGAAACAGUACCGCAAGGGAACGCUGAAAGAGAAAUGAAAUAAAUCAGUAAAGCACAGAAAAGCAGAGUUUAACCCUCGUACCUUUUGCAUCAUGAUUUAGCAAGUAAACAUCAAGCAAAGAGGACUUUAGUUUGAUACCCCGAAACCAAGUGAGCUACUUCAAGACAGCCUUUAAGGGCGCACCCGUCUCUGUGGCAAAAGAGUGGGAAGAUCUUUGAGUAGAGGUGACAGACCUACCGAACUUGGUUAUAGCUGGUUGCCCAGGAAGUGAAUAGGAGUUCAGCCUUUUGCCCUCUUUCCACACAUGCCGGUUACACCCAAAGCAUUUAAGUAGGACAAAAGAGUUAGUCAAAGGGGGUACAGCCCCUUUGAAAAAGAUACAACUUUACCAGAAGGGUUAAGAUCAUACCACUCCCUAAGGGAACGUGUUCUAGUUGGCCUAAGAGCAGCCACCUACACAGAAAGCGUUAAAGCUCAAACACCUCCCCCGCCCCUAUUAUCCGGACCAUCCCAAUCUUACCCCCCUAAACAUACUGAGCCUUCCCAUACCCCCUAUGGGAGAGAUUAUGCUAAUAUGAGUAAUAAGAGAUCUUGCAUUUCUCCCUGCACAAGUGUAUAUCGGAACGAACUAACACCGACAAUUAACGGCCCCAAAACAGAGGGAACUGAAACAUUAUGGCUAGGCCACUAGGAAACCAUCCACCCCGCCCGACCGUUGACCUUACACCAGAGUGCAUACAAGGAAAGACUAAAAGAAAAAGAAGGAACUCGGCA